CCUACGGGCGGCUGCAGUGGGGAAUAUUGCACAAUGGGGGAAACCCUGAUGCAGCGACGCCGCGUGAAGGAAGACGUAUUUCGGUAUGUAAACUUCUAUCAGCAAGGAAGAUAAUGACGGUACUUGACUAAGAAGCCCCGGCUAACUACGUGCCAGCAGCCGCGGUAAUACGUAGGGGGCAAGCGUUAUCCGGAUUUACUGGGUGUAAAGGGAGCGUAGGCGGCCAUGCAAGUCAGAAGUGAAAGCCCGGGGCUCAACCCCGGGACUGCUUUUGAAACUGCAAGGCUAGAUUACCGGAGAGGUAAGUGGAAUUCCUAGUGUAGCGGUGAAAUGCGUAGAUAUUAGGAGGAACACCAGUGGCGAAGGCGACUUACUGGACGGUUAAUGACGCUGAGGCUCGAAAGCGUGGGGAGCAAACAGGAUUAGAUACCCCGGUAGUC
rnacentral:rRNA from 1 species